rnacentral:rRNA from 1 species
AUGCCUUACACAUGCAAGUCGAACGGCAGCGCGGACUUCGGUCUGGCGGCGAGUGGCGAACGGGUGAGUAAUGUAUCGGAACGUGCCUAGUAGCGGGGAUAACUACUCGAAAGAGUAGCUAAUACCGCAUACGCCCUACGGGGGAAAGCAGGGGAUCGCAAGACCUUGCGCUAUACGAGCGGCCGAUGUCAGAUUAGCUAGUUGGUAGGGUAAAGGCCUACCAAGGCGACGAUCUGUAGCGGGUCUGAGAGGAUGAUCCGCCACACUGGGACUGAGACACGGCCCAGACUCCUACGGGAGGCAGCAGUGGGGAAUUUUGGACAAUGGGCGAAAGCCUGAUCCAGCCAUGCCGCGUGAGUGAAGAAGGCCUUCGGGUUGUAAAGCUCUUUCGGCUGGGAAGAAAUCGCACAGGCUAAUACUCUGUGUGGAUGACGGUACCAGCACAAGAAGCACCGGCUAACUACGUG